UAGGAUACCAUGACCCAGCUCCAUUUUUUUUAACGAUGUGAGAAAAGGAAAUAUGGCAGUUUCGCGCAUAUGAGUCUUUGUAUAUUCAUCUAAGGGCUUUUGAAUGCUUUUAGCAAAAAUUCCCAAGCGUUUGUCAAGCAAUCGACUCAUAUAAACAAUUCCAUCACAUGCCAAACAAUCAAAGACUAAAUAUCUCAGUUGCUUCUUACCACCUG